CGAUAUUUGCGGCCUAAUCUUUGUCCUGUGAGAAGACAAAGCAGGGGACGGAGAUGAGCGAAAGAGGAGCAGAUGCAAAGAAAUCAAAGUGGCCAGAGAUGAAGCCCAAAUGAGAUCUCCACAUUGCGUUCCUCGGAGACACUCAUCUCUUCACGGUUCAGAAUUUCUUUACAUCUGCCAAAUCGAAGACGUUUAUCGCGCUGCGGAGUCCGUUGGUUUCAUUCACCAAGGGAGCUUGGGCCCAGCGAAAGGAAGAAGCUUUUAGGGACAAUGACUGUAUUUCUGUCAAUGACCCUGUUCUUGCUGAAACUAUAUGGGAGUCGGGCCUCUGGAAUAUCUUUUCCGAUAUUAAAAUUUGGGGGAAAUCUGCUGUGGGUUUAAAUCCAAAUAUCAGAUUCUACAGGUACAAGGUGGGUCCAGUGCUUUGGGAGGCAUAUUGAUGAAAGUGUUGAUCUUUCGGAUGAGUCGUACUUAUUAUACAUUGUUAAUAUUAUCUUAGUGGUGGUGUAACGGUGUAAGGUACAAAGGCAAUAGUCAUAUAGGCAGCAACCAGGAUUCUUCUGAGUCACUAGUAGGAGGAGAGACCGUCUUUUAUGAUUCUAGACAAGGUAUUGUUUCGGAGGUGGCUCCUGUUGAAGGGAUGGCACUACUUCACAUUCAUGGCGAUAAGUGUAUGCUACAUGAAGGCCGAAACAUUACUAAGGGCAUCAAAUAUAUCUUCCGAUGAGAUGUAGCUUUUGCUUGACAAGUGUUGGAGCUUUGCCAUUCAAGCAAAAUAGGUAUGUUAUUCACUUCAAGUUUCUUUUACAACAUUUAUUUCUGAUUUUCUUGUUUCUCCCAGUAAGACAGCUUUUUGGCCUUUUCAAUUCUUAAUUUUAAUACUCCUGUUUUAUUGGUGUAUCCAUUUAGUGCACACACAGCCACCAUUGCUGCAAGUACUAUUACUCUUAUGAUAAAUAAGAUGGAGAUCAAGGAUCUCAAAGUUUAAAAAGUAGCAGCAUAUAAUAGAGCAUUUGAUAUACAUGGAAUCAAUCCAUUUCUGAUACAUGUAUUUAUCAAAGACACCACUAUGCUUUUAUUGUGAAUCAUGAAUUAGCUUGUGGUUUCGAGCUGCAAAAACCAUGAUUCCUGCAGCUACACUAUUUGAACCAUAGUGAUAUCAAGAGCCAGAUCUCCAAGGCUUGCUCUUAACAUUUCUAACUCCACUCUUGGGUCUCAGCAGUCCUACAUGUUUGAACCUCAAAGUUCCCUUUUUUAGUUUCGUACCAAUGUCAAAGCUACUGAGGCAUCCCCACAUUAGUGAAGCCUCUUAUCUUGGUUAGUGU